rnacentral:ncRNA from 1 species
GAGAGUCAAAUGAAUCUAAAGAUUCAUGUUUGGUUCGGGAAGAGAUCAGACAUUUUUAAAUGGAUGAAAAAAGAGUCUACUUUCAU